GGAUUAGAUACCCUGGUAGUCUAUGCUGUAAACGAUGAGUGCUAGGUGUUGGAGACUUGAUCUUCAGUUCCGUAGCUAACGCGUUAAGCACUCCACCUGGAGAGUACGACCGCAAGGUUAAAACUCAAAGGAAUUGACGGGGACCCGCACAAGCGGUGGAGCAUGCGGUUUAAUUCGAUGUUACGCGAAAAACCUUACCAACCUUUGACAUAGUGAUUAUGAUAAAUAGAGAUAUUUUCUUCAGUUUGGCUGGAUCACUACAGGUGUUGCAUGGCCGUCGUCAGCUCGUGCCG
rnacentral:rRNA from 1 species